CAUGACUUUGAUCUGCGUCCUCAUCUGGACUCUCCUCUGCUGCUGCUUCACAGAGUCCAGAGGACAGAUCACAGUGACUCAGCCUGGAGCAGUGAGCUCUGCUGUGGGAGGAACUGUGAACAUCAAGUGCACAACGAGUGAAGAUGUUUAUUCUCUUUUAGAUACCCAUUUUUUGGCCUGGUACCAACAGAAAGACGGUGGAGUUCCUAAACUGAUCAUUUAUGCUGCUGACACUCUAGAAUCAGGGAUAUCAAAUCGUUUUACAGGCAGUGGAUCAAACUCUGACUUCACUCUGACCAUCAGUGGAGUCCAGGCUGAAGAUGCAGCAGUUUAUUACUGUCAGAGUGCUCAUGAGAUCAACAGUCAGCUUGUGUUCACACAGUGA